UGAUAAAAUACAACAGGCACCAAAAAGUGAUGUAACAUUGAAACCUAAAACAACAGUCGUUACGGCAAUAGUUCACAAGCAACCAGUAAAUAAGGUUCCCAAUGAAUGUGUAAAACAAGCACUAAAAGCCUCUACUACUGUCUCAUCACGCUCCAGAAGUAAACAAACACACCCCAUUUCAUCUGUGGCUUCUAGAAAAUCUAUAGCUGUAGAAGACAUCAUAACCACCAUUGAUGAUGAUGAAAAGUCUCCAACAGCAGUACCCACACAUUGCAGAGCCAAGGGUUUUUCUAACAAUCCAAAAAAAUCUUUGAAUUCUCUACAAUUACCAGGUUUGGGACAGAAAACACAACACACAAACACAACUAAGAAAUCAUGUGUUAAAAGAAAACCUAGUGGUGAGAAUAAUGCUCAAA